rnacentral:miRNA from 1 species
UGUGUGUGUGUGUGUGUGUGUAUAGACAUAGAUAGAUAGAUAGAUAUAUCUAUACACACACACACACAUACACACACACACACACACAUGCA